GACGAACGCUGGCGGCGUGCUUAACACAUGCAAGUCGAACGAUGAAGCUGGAGCUUGCUCUAGCGGAUUAGUGGCGAACGGGUGAGUAACACGUGAGCAAUCCGCCCUUGACUCUGGGAUAACUGCGGGAAACUGUAGCUAAUACCGGAUACUUUCACCGGGGGGCAUCCUCUGGUGAUGAAAGAAUUUCGGUCAAGGAUGAGCUCGCGGCCUAUCAGCUUGUUGGUGAGGUAACGGCUCACCAAGGCGACGACGGGUAACCGGCCUGAGAGGGUGACCGGUCACACUGGGACUGAGACAGGGCCCAGACUCCUACGGGAGGCAGCAGUGGGGAAUAUUGCACAAUGGGCGCAAGCCUGGUGCAGCAACGCCGCGUGAGGGAUGAAGGCCUUCGGGUUGUAAACCUCUUUUAGCAGGGAAGAAGCGAAAGUGACGGUACCUGCAGAAAAAGCACCGGCUAACUACGUGCCAGCCGCCGCCGUAA
rnacentral:rRNA from 1 species